GACGUAGGUGGCGAACGUUAUCCGGAAUUAUUGGGCGUAAAGGGUGCGUAGGUGGCCUGACAAGUUAUCAGUGGCAAAUCGAGGCUCAACCUCGUGGAAACUGGUAAUACUGUCCGGCUUGAGUGCAGGAGAGGUUAACGGAACUCUAUGUGGAGGGGUAAAAUCCAUAGAUAUAUAGAUGAACAUCAAUAAAGGCGAAGGCAGUUAACUAGUCUGUUACUGACACUGAGGCACGAAAGCGUGGGGAGCAAAACGG
rnacentral:rRNA from 1 species